GGCAUCUGGGGCAAAUGACACGAGACAGCAUUUACUUUCUUGCAUUACGAAGUGGAAGACUAAUGACCGAAGCUUUAAGAACUGGGCAAAUACGAAAACACAAAGCGGACCUGAUUUGGAAGAGGAGGAAAAUCAUAUCACAUCCCCUACAGAUACCAAGACAAAAGGGACGGAGGAAAUAAAUCAUAAAAAAAGAGAAAAUGAAGUUUUAAAAGUUCUCCCCAAACGGCGAACCCUCUAGAGAUGGUGAAACUGAGGUCCUGGGAGAGCUUAAGUGACUUAAAUCCCCUCGGUGAUCAGCAUAGGAUGGAGUAUAUCCGUCUGCAGGGAGUCAUCGUCGCUGCCCUCUGGGGGCUUGGAGAGUUGGGGGGCGGGGAAGGCCACACAGGGCACACUG